rnacentral:tRNA from 2 species
GCAUCCAUCGUAUAACGGCUAUUAUGGCUGGCUUCCACCCAGCAGAUUGGAGUUCGAUUCUCCAUGGAUGCU